rnacentral:rRNA from 1 species
UACGAAGGUGGCAAGCGUUACUCGGAAUUACUAGGCGUAAAGGGCAGGUAGGUGGUUCGACAAGUCUGUUGUGAAAGCUCCUGGCUUAACUGGGAGAGGUCAACAGAAACUGGUCGGGCUUGAGUAUGGGAGGAGGGUACUGGAAUUCCCGGUGUAGCGGUGAAAUGCGCAGAUAUCAGGAGGAAUACCGAUGGCGAAGGCAGGUCUCUGGGCUGACACUGACGCUCAUGCACGAAAGCGUGGGGAGCAAACAGG